rnacentral:rRNA from 1 species
UACGGAGGGGGCUAGCGUUGUUCGGAAUUACUGGGCGUAAAGCGCACGUAGGCGGCUUUGUAAGUUAGAGGUGAAAGCCCGGGGCUCAACUCCGGAAUUGCCUUUAAGACUGCAUCGCUAGAAUUGUGGAGAGGUAAGUGGAAUUCCGAGUGUAGAGGUGAAAUUCGAAGAUAUUCGGAAGAACACCAGUGGCGAAGGCGACUUACUGGACACAUAUUGACGCUGAGGUGCGAAAGCGUGGGGAGCGAACAGG